rnacentral:rRNA from 1 species
UACGUAGGGGGCAAGCGUUGUCCGGAAUCAUUGGGCGUAAAGAGCGUGUAGGCGGCCCGAUAAGUCCGCCGUGAAAGUCCAGGGCUCAACCCUGGGAUGCCGGUCGAUACUGCCGGACUAGAGUUCGGAAGAGGCGAGUGGAAUUCCCGGUGUAGCGGUGAAAUGCGCAGAUAUCGGAAGGAACACCUAUGGCGAAGGCAGCUCGCUGGGACGUUACUGACGCUGAGACGCGAAAGCGUGGGGAGCAAACAGG